GCAAAGCAGCCAGUUGCUACUACAGUCAUCAUGUGAUAACAAGAAAGGUAGUUGCUGGAUGGUGACAGUAAGCGGCUAAGCACAGCACCACGGCACAACUAAGCACAAAAGCUUCUCUUGCUGCUUCAAAUCGAGUUGACAAAAUAACAUUAGACGUGUCUUGCUUUAUGAUUUAUCGCAAUCUGUUGUAUAUGUGCUUUUUAAUUGUCAUGCCGGUUUAGCGGCUUUAAUUAGUGCACCCCGUCAACAAUAUAAAUAAAUAAAAAGGAAACAGGAAGAAGCUAUAUAUAUAGAUAUAUAGCUAUUUAUGAAUAUACACGCAUAUAUUCUUGAGAGAUAAUUAAAAGAAAGAAAAAGAAAGUGUUAUUCGCUUCUUUUUUCUUUUCUUUUCUCACAAACACAUGUGUCUCUAAUAAAUAUCAACAGCUGUACAAAUUGAUAUAGUUGAAGAAGCGACAAGGAAAAUAAUUAAUUUGCCAAGAUGUUUAAGAAAAAGUCAAGCAAAUCCGACCUGGAGAUGGAAUACCAGUGCACUAUAAGGUUCUUGGAUGAUUCCGAACCUAUCCAACUAAAUUUUAAGAAAGACUCAACAGGACAAUGGCUGCUCGACCAAGUGUGUCAACGCCUAAAUUUGAUCGAAAAGGAUUAUUUUGGUCUUCGAUAUGUAGACAUGGAAAGACAAAGACAUUGGUUGGAUCCUAUCAAAACAGUUUACAAACAGUUAAAAGAACUUAUAGUUUCUGCAAAGAAAAAUGACAAAGUCAACCAUGAUUCUUCAAGUGUCAAUCCAAUGGUGCUGUGCUUCCGUGUGAAGUUUUACCCAGAAGAUCCCAUGUCUCUACAUGAAGAAAUAACAAGAUACUGCUUGUUCCUGCAACUCCGAAGAGAUCUACAUCAUGGCCGUUUACUGUGCCCCCCAAGUGAUGCUAACCUUUUGGCAGCCUACAUAAUACAGUCUGAACUGGGUGACUAUGAUGAACAAGACCACCCUCCAGGAUAUGUUUCACAAUUUAAGAUGUUACCCAAGCAAAAUCCCAGAAUGGAAGAACAGAUUGCUGAAAUACACAAGACUCUUCAAAAACAAGUACCUGCUGAAGCGGAGAAGAACUUUCUGAAAAAAGCAGCCUCACUGGAUACCUAUGGUAUUGAUCCUCAUCAUGUAAAGGAUCAGAAAGGCAAUCCACUCUUUCUUGGAAUCACACAUCAAGGUAUUAUGACAUUCCAUGGUAACAGGAGAACCCACCUGUUCACAUGGAGUCAAAUGAAAAGAAUAGUCUACGAAGGCAAGAUGUUUAUUGUACACGUCAACACUGCUGAGGAUAUAAAUAUUGAAGAAACUGAAUUAUCUGAUGAGGAAAUCCCAAAGAAGAUGACUGGCAGCAAAUAUUUGUGCACUGGCACAGACAUGAAGCAACAACCUAUUGGUUACAAGUGCCCAACAACCAGUGCCUGUAAGUACUUGUGGCGAUGUGCUGUUGAACAACAGUUUUUCUUCACACUGUCCAGUUCAACAAAUGCUCCUAAAGUUCGGUCAGGAGGCAGUCUCUUAACUAGAGGUUCACGGUUUCGUUUCAGCGGGCGAUGUCAGACGGAGGCUAUUGCUGCCAGUGGUGGUAUAAGUCGCCCGGAACCUGCUUUUACUCGUUCCUCAUCUCUACCAAACUUUAACCACAAGAGAGAUUCUAAAGUACCUCUGCGUAAUAUGUCAAUGACCCGAGACGCUGCUAUUAAAGAAGCAAAAGCAAGAUAUCAUGAACUACCAGUGGAUGUUCCUGGAAAAGUAGAACAAGAGGAACAUGUCAGCCCCGAUAAAAUGAAUACAUCCAAAAGUGCACCAAUUGCUUCAAGUGAAAGCUCUUCUGAAGAGAAAACAUUGACACAAGAUGUCGAUGCAUUAACAGGAGAAGUGUCUCCAGUUUCAGUACAAGAAGCUCUACAAGUUCCUGGUGACCUUCAAAAGAGCAGUACUCCUGGAUCCGAAUCAUCUGAUGUUGUUCUAGCUGAAUCCCUCAAUAUGGAACCAGUACCCACGAUGAAAAUGUCUCUGGAUGAACAGAUCAAAGAAUUGGAGCAACAUUGGGUACAGACACAGAAUAGCCAUUUUUCGCCACUAUCGCAGGUCGAGGCAUCAGCUGUGUCAAACGAGAAGACGGCAGCAACAACACCUACAUCAAGCGCAAAUGCAAAAGCUCCUUCACUGUUAGAUCGUUUAUAUAAGUGCAAACCCAACAUGAUGUACGUAUCUGCUGUGAUUGCCUUGAUUAUUGCACUGGUGUUGAUUGUGGUGCUUGCUUCAAGUAUUCAACAUCCUAUAAUGGCUCUGAUUAGGCGACAAUUCAACCUUGAGCCUAUGAGUGACUACAUUAACGACAAGGAAUGACAUUGAGUGUCAUUGAGUGCUAAAUUUACCAUCUAGCUGUUGGCAUCAACUCAAACCAACUUUGACACACGUGUUUGGCUCAUUUAGAAACAUUUCUCAGAGAAAAGAGUUUAAAAUGAUUCAAUCUUCCUGAUUUUUGCCUAUUUUUGCCCCAGCUUGAGUCAACUUUGGUUACUGUUAUUAUUUUUGUCUCCAUAAAAUUGCUUUUUAUUUUAUUUUUCUAAAAGAUUGUUAUUUAUUAUACUUCGAUGUGUAAUUGCUGUAUAAUUCGCUUCCAUUUCGGCUACCAUUUUUUUUAUCUGAUUGUUUAUUAUAUUCUUUUUGUUGUUUUUUGUCAUUUUGUUAAUUUAUUAUUUUGAAAAUGUCCUUAUUUAUCAUCAUACCAUCUGUCUGUAUGUGUUGUGAAGGGAAUCAUUUUUAACUCAGAGUUAAGUGUUAAAUGCAAAAAAAAAAAUGUUUAAAGAAGGACAAAAGACUUCAACAGUGAAACAACUCAAUCAAGGAGAAAAAAAAUGUUUUCUUCUGUUUCCUGUGAUUCAUAAUGUCAGUAUUUUCAUCCCUUCAAGACUACCAUUCUCUUCAUUUUCAUAUUAUUGUUAUUAAGGCAGCAAGCUGGCAUAAUCGUUAGCAUGCUAAACAAAAUGCUUAGCCGCAUUUCAUCCACUCUUAUGUUCUGUGUUCCAAAUUCCACUGAGAUCAACUUUACUUUUCAUCUUUCAGGGUUGAUAAAAUAAGAACCAUUUUAGCACCAGG
rnacentral:misc_RNA from 1 species